UCAACCAUCCCAGAUAAAUGCCUCUCUUUAAAAAAAGAGAUCUCUAACUUAUCUCUAGCUCGGAUGAUCCCUCUAUCUGUAUUUUUCUGCUCUGUCUAGUAACCCCAAAGCCUCGGCACAGCCUCUCUUGCACCUGGCUGGACUUUCUGAGCAUAAAACAUAAAUGCUCCAUUAACUCUCAAGAAGAUGAUUUACCAUUUGCCCUUUAUAGACAAGAUGAAAAUAGUGGGAACAUCAUCUGAAAACAUAUGACCCAACCGUUGGCGCACCCUGUGGCUGCAAACCUUUAAUGCGCAACACAGAGCCUUGGAGUCUGAAGAGGGAUGAUGGAGAGACGGUGCCUUACUGCGAUGCUUCUUGAAUCAACAACAGCAAAUAAUGAGACAAGGGGAAAUCAGUAGGGGCGGAGGCUGCAGCUCCUGGCGAGGAGGUCGCUGAGCGGCGUUGCUCUAUUCUGAUGGAGAUGCUUCUGGCCAAUUUAGGAGCAAGCCUGUGGGGCUCUGAAGGAGGCUCCCUGCACUCUUUCAGCAAAAGUAAAGUCACCAUGAUGCAUGGCCUUGAGGAGAGACUGGCAAGUUGAGAUGUAAGGGCAGGCGGUGAUUUUUCCUGGGAGAACCCCAAGGAGAAAAGGAAAACAAGAGUAAGCUGAGCAUUUGGACAACAGGGGCCAACAGCUGGCACUUCCCGGUGGCUGCUGGGUGGCCGACAUGGGCUGAGUUCAUGAUUCACAAUUCAAACCACAGUCAUAAUAAUGAAAUCCAUCUAUAUUACUAAGAUUACUAACAUGCUUCUUGUUGGCCAGCCCAUGGGGGACGCCCAGGAGUGACCGCUCUAGGGAUACCGAGUGAUCGCGCCAGCCUUAGCAAAGAGAUUUCCAUGUUUCAUUUGAGGCAUGAGCUGGUCAGACUACAGGAAUUGCUUGUGCUAACCUGUUUUAAAGGUAUGAAAAGACACAGAGCCACUCUCUCAUCCUGUGAAAAAUGGCAAUGCACCAUUGCAGACAACGGAGCCACACAAGUUUAUGCUGGAUGAAAAUGCAGACUUUUUCAAUACGAUCCACACGGAAAAGCAGGUAGAAGUGGUCAACGACAGAGUAUUUUUUUGGAGCUCACGGCUAAGUUGUAUAUUAUUAUUUCAUUAGGAUACAAGUGAGAGCUUUUAUUCUAAUUUGUAUGGGAAAUGUGUCAAAAAGAAGUUGAGAAAAACUGGGCUCUCUCUCCUAAUCUAUACUGUAUAACAUGUUCAUUAGCACUGUACAGCCAUCCUGGAAAGCAACAUUUCUAAGCCAGCCACUGUUUAAGACUUUCAUAAUGUAAUAACUCUUUGUCCAAUCCUGCUGGAAUGAAACAAGCUGACUUCACUAAUAGUAUAUUGAGUUCUUGCAUCUCUAUUAUAAAUGAUUUUAGUUGCAGACAUUUAAUUAAUGUUAUAAAUUCAAUAGUUAUGAUACAGUAUGGGAAAUGAUGAUGUUCUCUUAAUAUACACCAUGUUUUGGUUUAUUUUCUUUUUAACUGUGAGUUUCUAUUGUCACCAGAUAUCCUACUGAUUUGGUUGCAAUUAGAUCACAUAUUAGAUGCCCAGGAUGGGAACUCUC